UACCGUUGAUAUUUCCUCAACCAUUUCAUUUACAACCGUUGGAUCAUGCUAGGCAGUCAAUAAAUCACGCUCAACCUUUCUUCUGUGCAUGAUCGUUUCUUUAAUUUGUUCUCUCUCUCUCUCUCUCUCUCUCAUCUUGAGACAUUAUCGCCUCUAUUUUUGUUAGAUCUGUUCUUUUUCAUUUCUCAUCUUCGAAAUCUCUCUCCAGAUCGUUCGACGAUCUACGAUUUGAUUAUGGAUUCGAGCAUUUUUUUUGAGAAAAUCGCCUCCUUUCGUAGAUUCAGAGAUAUGUGGUUCAAGACUCCUCUUUUCCUCGUUCAUGUCUUUUUAGAUCGAUCGAAGUUGGUGUGGAUUUGACAGAUCUAUACAGAUCUAUAAGAUAUAAUUUUGGAUCUUGAAUUGACGCCGUUGACUUUUAUCUUUGACAGAACUAAAUUCAGAUUGUUCGAAGUCAUUUGAUUUUGGACGCGCAUGAAGAAGGCAGGCGGUGGUGAAGCCAACGGAGGCUUAGAGAAGGGUGGUGAAGCUGCGUUCCUUUGUAAGGGUUUGUUAGAUCCCUUUUUGUUGUUUAUGCAAUGUAAGCAUAAGGACAUGUUCAUGGCAUACAAGAAGGGAGUAUGUGUUUUUUUUUUUUUUUGGCCGGGGGGGGGGGGAAGGAAUAUGAGAUCUGUGCAAUGUUCUAAUGGUUGUCACACGACCUUUGCCAUGUCAGGUGCGCUUGCUUGGCAGGUCAAACAAUACCUAAUAAAACUUGUUUGUUGGUGUUUUGAGGGGAGAAGGUACGGGGUUUUGCCCGGCUCUCCCUUCUUGUGUCUUCUUUUUUUUUUUCUGUUGUUUUUUCUCUACCCUCUUCUUCAAAUCGGUUGUCCGUGUCUUUAUUUGCCACUUCUUGGUUCUUUUUAUACCAAUUCGAGGCAAAUAGGACAUACAUACGCAAGCAAACACAAGGAUUGGAUUAGCACCAUAUGACUACUCAGUCCAACAGGUACAAGCUACAAUGCCCUCAAAACUUAUUUUUCCAUUUACUAUUCGCAUUUUCUUAACAUUUAACAUCAUUGAUUGCAUAAUUUGAGCCAAAAAAAUCCAAUCUUCGUAUUUAAUUUAAAAUCCAUUGGCCUCAUUUUGGAGGCCUAACAAUUUUUGACCCAUAACUAUUUUUAUACUGGCAAAUUGAAUCCGUAAGAACGUUUGUAAUUCACCAUCCAUUAAUGUUCUCCGCAGUUUUGAAGCCGUGAUUAGCAUUUUGUGUUCUGUCUAUUUAUAAUAUCGUCAUUUGUAUAUUUAUAGUCCAUAAUCUGAUCAAGAAAUUCAGCUUUGUAUUUGUUUUAUAAUUAAUAAUUGGCCUAUGGAGGCUGCUCAGAUUUGACACACAAAAUUCUAAUUUAUUUUGCAAAAUUGAAUGGCAAUGAGCAACCUUGAACCAAACUCUACUUUGACUCGCAAAACCAGAAUUGGCUCUGCAAUUUUGAAGAUGAAUUUGCAUUUCGGUUCUCUAUGUGAUUUUAGUACUUCAAUAAUAUUUAGUUUGUGGUGCUAUUAUUAUUUCAAAUGUAAAAGUUUGAGUUGCUUCAGAUAUAAUAUGACAUGUUCGGAUAUGAUUGUGUAGAGUUCCAGUUGCAUGGUCAUGUGGUUCUAAAGCAUGGAUAAAUGCUGAAUGAACUGUAUACACAUGCUCUGUAUUUUUAUGUUUAAUUUGUUGGGUUUUUGAGUUUGGUAGAGCAGUGGUUUGAAAUUGCAAGGAAUGUUUCCCAAUGGGUUGUUGCACUGGUUUCAAAAAUGUCUCUUUUGUAAUCUGCUAUAGGUUGUGAAGCUAAAGUUUUAGUGUUGGCUGCCUGUGGCUGAGUCGUGCAACUAGCAAUUGUGAGAAUUGUUAGAAUGCUGCACUGUGAAGAAUCUUGAUUCCGUUGUGGUAGCGGUUAUGCUGUGCUGAUCGCAUAGGGAUUUUGACUUUGUUCAUGCUGAUAUGAUUUGGAAUGUUGAUAAUCUUGCCUCGCAACAGUAUUUUCUUGCUUGUCAGACUAGUGGCAGAAGUGGGGGCAUACUCCAAUUGUGUUGAACCUUCUUAUCUUCAUAAUUUUGGUGGCAUAUACUGAUGUCCUUGUAUAGCUCGUAUCUCAUGUGGUUUAUUCAGUUAGUCUCUUUCCUGGGAUGUUAUCAAUCGAAACCACUAUAUAAUCCAUUAUAUUUUGUAAUUUUAAUCAUGUAUGCUAGUUGGGCCAGUAGCUAUUUAUGUAAGAGAGUAAAUUUCAAUCUUAGUGCAUUCAUUGCUGUUUUGUCUUUUCUUUUAUUGUCCCUACUGUGUGGCCAAAAAGCUGCUAGGGAAGUUUUUUGUGCAGGUUGCAUUCCAGAUAUACGCUUCCAUUUGGAAUUUCAUUGUAUCCAUGUGGUAUGGCGCUGAUCCACUUCAUAUGGAGAAUGUGUUCAAGUAUGCAGUUGUCGUGAUGCAGCCUGUGAGGUAUUUAUCUUUGAGAUUGGUUUCUUUUAUGAUAUCUUUGUAUGAUCAGAUCAGUAUUGAUUUCUCACAAGCCUGAGGGUUAUAUGCUUCUUGUCAAGGUUGUGCCUGCUAUCAAAUUUGUGUUUCCUUUGCUUGGAGCAAUGGUGAAGUCUGUGUAGCAUUAAUUUUGGCAUUUGAAGUUGGGUUAGUUUUGUCCUGAUUGUCAAAUUUGAAGAAUAAUUGGCAUUGUGAUUUUAGCUUGUUAGUGUAGCUAUUUAAGUUGUAUAUUAUUUGAUUGGUGAAAGGUGGAAAUUGGGCACAGCACAGCAGUCAUGUAUUUGUCAUUUUUAGGGAAAGGUGGAAAUUGGGCACAGCACAGCAGUCAUGUAUUUGUCAUUUUUAGGGAAAUAACUGCAGUGGCUGCAGCAAAAAUAAAUUUCAAAAACAUGAAAGAGUAUAGUAUUUCAAUAA